UGAAGAUUUUUUUAUUGAAUGGAUAUAAAAAUGGUACAAAAUAUUUCCUUACAGUCAGUCAUGAUUAAUAAUAAAUUAAAUUAUCACCAAAAAUACUUCCAAUUUGGAAAAACAAAAACAGGAUCUAUAAAAGUUGCAGUUAAAGCAUUACAGGAAUACACUAUGGGGUAUACAGAUAUUUCACAUAUGCUUUAUAUAAGUGCACCAUGAAGGUUAAAACAACAGCUGUUGAGGUGUUGCUGCCAAAUCGAGAGUCCAGAGACUUAGUAGCACCCCUCCAACCAGUGUUAGGGCUCAGUCACACAAGGCAAUAAUCACUAUCUAUAAUAGGUGAAGUAAUCAGCUUUCGAACAAGCAAAGUUCACUAGUUUGUUGACUGAUCACAUGGUUUACAAAAAAAAAUAUUUUGUUUAUCAGCCGCAAAUCACUCUGUGUAAUAGGAGAAGUGUGGACGAUGAAUGAUAGAAGUAAAGAGCCCCCAUGAACUAUCCAGCAACUGUUCGUGCAUCCCUGACUGCCUAAUAACUGAGCAAUGUAAUCACCAAGCUCCAAUCCAAGAGGAGAUCAGCGCUCAUAUUGGACCGGAGUCAGACUGUGUAAUAUAGCUCUUAUUAGUCAUCUUCAUAGUCAUGCAGUGCUAACCAUCUCCAGGAUCAAGGACUAAUCAUACUGGAUACAUAUACCUAGAUAUGUAUGAACCUUCUGCCAUGUAUUAAACACUAAAAUCUCCCCUUAUUAUCUCCCCUUCACACUUUAACAUUGACAGGUCAUCUCCAAUAAAGGUUACCUGGCAAGAACUUGUUGCAAGACAUUGGGCUUUCCAUUCCCUCAGUUUCUUAAGAAUGUAGAAUACAAUGCUGAAAGCAGUCAUGGUCACUGCACAGAUCCGGUUAAUGGAAAAAAGACGCGGAAAUCCAGACAUCAAUAAGCCUGUCUUGUAUGUGUAUGCUCACUAUUAUAUGGUCAUGUAGGUGUGUGCUCAUUAUUGUAUGGCCAUGUAGGUGUAUGCUCACUAUUAUAUGGCCAUGUAGGUGUAUGCUCACUAUUAUAUGGCCAUGUAUGUGUAUGCUCACUAUUAUAUGGUCAUGUAGGUGUAUGCUCACUAUUAUAUGGCCAUGUAUGUGUAUGCUCACUAUUAUAUGGCCAUGUAUGUGUAUGCUCACUAUUAUACGGCCUUGUAUGUGUAUGCUCACUAUUAUACAGCCAUGUAGGUGUAUGCUCACUAUUAUACGGCCAUGUAAGUGUAUGCUCACUAUUAUACGGCCAUGUAGGUGUAUGCUCACUAUUAUGUGGCCAUAUAGGUGUAUGCUCACUAUUAUAUGGCCACGUAGGUGUAUGCUCAUUAUUAUAUGGCCAUGUAGGUGUAUGCUCAAUAUUAUAUGGCCACGUAGGUGUAUGCUCACUAUUAUGUGGCCAUGUAGGUGUAUGCUCACUAUUAUACGGCCAUGUAGGUGUAUGCUCACUAUUAUAUGGCCAUGUAGGUUUAUGCUCACUAUUAUACGGCCACGUAGGUGUAUGCUCAUUAUUAUAUGGCCAUGUAGGUGUAUGCUCAGUAUUAUUUGGGCAUGUAGAUGUAUGGUCACUAUUAUAUGGCCACGUAGGUGUAUGCUCACUAUUAUACAGCCAUGUAGGUGUAUGCUCAUUGUUAUACGUGGCUUAUUAUGUUGCAGCCAAAUAAUCAGCAGGUUUGAGGAAUAAUUUCUUGGAUAGUCACCAGUUCGCUACUUCACUUCUUUAUUUAAACAUGGCCAUCGGCAAAUAUCGGAUUUUGGAAGGCCUCAAUGCUCAGAUGUCUGUGAGGAGAUGUUAUCACUUAGAAAACUGCUCGGAAAAUGAUCUCAUUGCCUGCAGCAACACUACUUAGGAAUGAAACCCAUUAAAACUGCACAUAUGCCAGGUUCACCAAAGUUAGAGAUGCUCUUUCUAAUGUCUCCUCUGACUGACAAGCAGAGGAAAGAACAUAUAGAUUUAGUAAUUUAAAUAUGGCAACACCUUAAACUCUUCCCGCCCAAGGGUGUACUGUAUAAUAAUGUCAUGGGCAGGAAUGCAUUAACAGAAUAGAACAUAAAUUUAUGCUCUUACAUUCUACGAAGUUGUAAUUGCUUCAUAGAUGGUGAAAGAAGGCUGCAAUCAGCUGCCAAGAAUGACGUAAAAGGUAAAAUUACUGGGACUGGUGGAUUGGGGGGGGGGGGGGGGGGGGAGGCUGAUUAGGUCUUUUGCAGGGUAAUUGCAGGGUACCGAACAGCUAGAAUGACAGCUAGAGGUCAUUUACCCUCCACUAUGCUGAAGCCAUGGCAGCCUGUAUUAGUGGAGCACCGAUAACACAAAUGAAUGCUAUGCCAAAGCAUAGCAUUAAACAGUGUAUUCAAUUGGAAGAUUGCACAUAGUAGUCCCCUGUGGGGACUAAAAACUGUAAAAAUAAAUAAAUCCCGCUCCCUCAUAUAAAAGUUUAAAUCUAACAAAAAGUUUUAAACAUUUUUUGAAGUAGU